CCUAGAGUUGUAGGCUUUGCCUGCUAUCUCUUACCCAUGUCUUUUGAGUACCUUCGUUUCCUCGGCGGGUCCGCCCGCCGAUUGGACAAUUUAAACCAUUGCAGUUGCAAUCAGCGUCUGAAAAACUUAAUAGUUA
rnacentral:misc_RNA from 1 species